GCAGGUGACUGUGCUCAGUGGUAAGAGGAGUCGUCUUGCAAUCAGAAGGUUGUGGGUUCGAUUCCAGCUUCCUCCUGCC